CAUUGAACUAAAAUAUAUGGAACGCUACCUUAACUGAACAUGCCGAGACUUGCCUGAAGCCAAAUUUUACCUCCAGACACGCGUGUCUGGAGGUAAAAUUCACGCGCGUUGUCGCGUUUCCUGCGUGGCGCCGAAGAACAGCGACAGCCAACUCUGGUAGCAACAUGUGAUUGAAAAGGUUUUGAAAAGGAAGGCACUUCUCUUGUUAUGGAGGUAAUCGGUUAAAUUUUCAUUCAAUACAGCAUGAAUCAUAACUUUUCAUACGUGUAUUCGAUCGGUAAAUCGGGGAAAUGAAACAUUUUUUCGUUUAAAUUGAAUGUGUGCACAAACGACAUGGAUUCAGAGAUUCAGAGUGGCAUUGUAAAGUUGUAAACACGUAAGUGCCUUUACUAAAUUUAUUAAAUAUGCGUGAAGCUCAAUCGCAUCUGCAACAGAGUAACUGAAAUUGUAUGUGAUUUGAGGACAGUUUGUUUGCCAGGUUCAAUCCUUCUUGUUCUUGAAUAUUCUGAAGCUCUUCGAUAUGUUUCCAUCUUAUGAUGUUGCCAUCUCCAUCAAUGGGCCAUUCCAUUUAUUAAAUAUACCCAGGCACCCCCUAUUGAGGGGUCCCUUCCAAAUCCCCUUAGGAUAUAAACAUUUUAGAACCCCCUUGGAUGUGAUUUUUGGAAGUUACCCCAUGGAUAUCUUGAUACCCCCUUUACAGACCUCUCAACUUCAACCCCCGUCGCCAAAAAAAUUUCGGUCAGUGUACCAUUUUAGGGGUCAAAAAAAAUUUCCGGACAACCAAUAUUUUUCGGAACAUACACAAAAUUUUCGAAAAAUCACAAAAUUUGCCAAAAAAUUGAAUUAAGUUUAGACAAAAUUUACAGAAUUUGUCACAUUCCUUUUAUUGCAACCCAAAAUUGCCCGACUGUUGAUCGAAUAUUGCCCGACUGCCCAAAAAACUCGCCCGGUACGCCUAUGCGGAUGUGCCAAAAUUUUUAUGCAUUAGAUUUACUAAACGUGGCGUGAGAGAGAGCGCGAGACUGAAGCGAAUUGCGUGAGACUCACGCCGAAUGCGUGAGAAUUGAAAGGUCUGGCGUGAGAGCGUGAGACUGAAGCGAAUUGCGUGAGACUCACGCCGAAUGCGUGAGAGUUGAGAGGUCUGCCUUUAGGAUAUUGUUUUUGCCCCCUUGGAUAUCACUAAAACACCUAAUUUCUGCUAUUUUUUUGAAAAAUUUUAGGUAAAAACCCCCUCCCCCAUAGGAUAUCCAGACCCCUCAAUAGGGGGGUGCCUAUAUUAAAUGGAAUGGCCCAUUAUAAAGGAUCCCAUGGACAGGGUCGAGUAUCACAAAAACAUCUUUGGUUGUUGGAUUCUUAAAAGUUACCAGAAAAUUUGCAACCCAGUGUUUUGAAUGUACUAAUGUUAACAUCUGUGCCAUCAGCUGUUACUGACCUCAUUUUUAGAUUAGCAUUUGCAACUUUUUCAAGACACUUUUUACCAGUGUGGCUUGGUCCUUUGCAUUCAUUUUAUCAGCCAAGAGGUAUCCCACUGAACAUUUACAAUGACUUCUGGUGCCUACCAGAAGAAAAACCAAAGCUUCUGUGGCCAAUUUUUCUAAAUGUCCAUUAGGAAUCUCAUUUCCAAAGUCUACAAAUCCGUAGGAGUCUUUUUCUGGAUUCCAAAUGGUUUGUUUUCGGAUAGACAUUGCGUCUAUUACCAAACAGUAAUCUUUGUCAGUAUUUGAUUCGGCUCGGCUCGGCUGAUAAUGCUUACCUCAACCUUCUAAGAAAGGGAUGAGAAUGCCUCAUCAAUAAAGCCUUGAUGUAAUUUUGUGUAAUUCAUCACUUGAGGCACAUCUUGGUCUUUUUUUCUGAAAUUGAAGGAUCAUUUUCAUGUGCUGGACAUGGUCUCACGGUCUGUUCUUCUGUUUAAUUCCUCGUCAUGUGCUGUUAAUGUUGGUGGGUCAGAAUGUACAGGUGAACCAGAUGGAAAAGCAUAUUUUUUGAGUCGACAUGUGUUGUUGGAUGAAGGAGGCAAGAUAUAAUCAGUUGACUGGAAAUGCUUGCUGCCUAUACGACUGUCCUGGUUGACUUGCCAUGGCUUUUUAUUUACUUUUUUGAACAUAAUUCUCCCAACAUAUUAAUUGUAAAGCAUUAUUUUUCAAAGGAAAUCCAUGACAAUAAUAAUAAUUUUUAUGUAAAUUCAGCUUAAUUAUCACCCUUCUAUCUGUCUGCUUGUCUUAUUUAUUCUUGUGUUUGUUUUUUUUUGUUGUAGGUGAUGUACACAUGUCAAAAGUCAAAAUGUGUAAAAUAGGCUUGUUUUUGUUAUAUUUUCUUUGAAGUAUCUAAUAUCACAGGUUUAUGUUUUUUUUUUUGUGUUUUUUUUCUGUGUUGGUGUUGUGUACUCAGGUGAAUAUGUUAUUUGUGAUGUUACUCUGAGUGUAUAUCCACACCGAGCGAGCUUGAAAAAUAUGCCCGGCCACAGAGGGAUUUGAACCUACGACCUUUGGAAUACUAGCCCAAUGCUCUUCCAACUGAGCUACGCGGUCAGGACGGUUCGAGUAAGUGAUAUUUAGGAACUGAAUCUAGUUCCUUCGAUACCAAUGUAUUCUAGUAAUAUGAUAUAUUUUUUUUGGCUAGUAUUCCAAAGGUCGUAGGUUCGAAUCCCACCAUGGCCGGGCAUAUUUUUCAAGCUCGCCCGGUGUGGAUAUACACUCAGAGUAACAUCACAAAUAUCAGGUUUAUGUUUGUUUUUUUGUGUAUAAUUAAG
rnacentral:tRNA from 1 species